rnacentral:tRNA from 1 species
AGGUCAGUGGUAGAGCACUUGCCUAACAUGCAAGAGGACCUGGGUUCAAUCCCCAG